ensembl:lncRNA
UGAGCUCAGCUGGAAUGAAUUUGUUUCUGUCCCAGAUAGCCUCCUAUAUAGGGCUCUGGUCCAAACUAGUGCACUAUGUAGGAAUCAGGGUGCCAUUUGGGAUCAUCACAGUAUCACUGAAAUGUGCUUUUAAAUGUCUUUGCCAAAUAGGACAUGAAUGAUUAGGUUGGAUUUGAGAAGAGGACAGAGAGUUGUUAACCUUGUUCACACAAUACCUUUAUCUAUUGACACCCUGGGAGUCAGACAGACAGACAGGGAGUCAGACAGACACACAGGGAGUCAGGUAGACACAGACAGACUGGGAGUCAGACAGACACACAGGGAGUCAGGUAGACACAGACAGACUGGGAGUCAGACAGACACACAGGGAGUCAGGUAGACACAGACAGACUGGGAGUCAGACAGACACACAGACAGACUUGGAGUCAGACAGACAGACUGGGAGUCAGACAGACACACAGGGAGUCAGGUAGACACACAGACAGACUUGGAGUCAGACAGACAGACUGGGAGUCAGACAGACACACAGGGAGUCAGGUAGACACACAGACAGACUUGGAGUCAGACAGACAGACUGGGAGUCAGACAGACACACAGACAGACUUGGAGUCAGAAGGACAGACUGGGAGUCAGUCAGGAAGUCAGACAGACAGACUUGGAGUCAGUCAGGAAGUCAGACAGACAGACUGGGAGUCAGACAGGAAGUCAGACAGACAGACAGGAAGUCAGACAGCGGACCAGGAAGCUGUGGUAUUACAGUUUAUUUGUUGUUUUGGAAGGUAAAGUGCAUAGUUGAAGCCCUUCCUCUCUGUUAGACCUGUUCCCUGUAUAGUGGUACUACUAUAGACCCUGUUCCCUAUAUAGUGGUACUACUAUAGACCCUGUUCCCUAUAUAGUGGUACUACUAUAGACCCUAUUCCCUAUAUAGUGGUACUACUAUAGACCCUGUUCCCUAUAUAGUGGUACUAUUAUAGACCCUGUUCCCUAUAUAGUGGUACUACUAUAGACCAGAGACCUGUUCCCUAUAUAGUGGUACUACUAUAGACCAGAGCCUAUUCCCUAUAUAGUACACUACUAUAGACCAGAGCCCUAUUCCCUAUAUAGUACACUACUAUAGACCAGAGACCUGUUCCCUAUAUAGUACACUACUAUAGACCAGAGCCCUAUUCCCUAAAUAGUACACUACUAUAGACCAGAGUCCUAUUCCCUAUAUAGUACACUACUAUAGAUCAGAGCCCUAUUCCCUAUAUAGUGGUACUACUUUAGACCAGAGCCCUAUUCCCUAUAUAGUGGUACUACUAUAGACCAGAGCCCUAUUCCCUAUAUAUGGUACUACUAUAGACCCUAUUCCCUAUAUAGUGGUACUACUUUAGACCAGAGCCCUAUUCCCUAUAUAGUGGUACUACUAUAGACCAGAGCCCUAUUCCCUAUAUAGUGGUACUACUAUAGACCAGAGCCCUAUUCCCUAUAUAGUGGUACUACUUUAGACCAGAGUCCCAUUCCCUAUAUAGUGAACUACUAGUCCUGGUCAAAGUAGUGAACUAUAUCCAGGGGCUCCCGAGCGACGCGGCGGUCUAAGGCACGUGAGGCGUCACUACAGACACCCCGGUUCGAAUCCAGGCUGUAUGGCAACCGGCCGUGAUUGGGAGUCCCACCGGGCGGCGAACAAUUGGCCCGGCGUCGUCCCGGUUUGGCCGGUGUAGACCGUUGUUGUAAAUAAUCAUGUAUUCUUAACUGAUUUACCAAGUUAAAUAAAAGUUACAUUAAAAUAAACUGUAUAUAGGGAAUAGGGUGCCUAAGUAGUGCACUAUACUGUACAUAGGGAAUAGGGUGCCUAAGUAGUGCACUAUACUGUAUAUAGGGAAUAGGGUACCUAAGUAGUGCACUAUACUGUACAUAGGGAAUAGGGUACCUAAGUAGUGCACUAUACUGUAUAUGGGGAAUAGGGUGCCUAAGUAGUGCACUAUACUGUAUAUUGGGAAUAGGGUGCCUAAGUAGUGCACUAUACUGUAUAUAGGGAAUAGGGUGCCUAAGUAGUGCACUAUACUGUAUAUAGGGAAUAGGGUGCCUAAGUAGUGCACUAUACUGUAUAUAGGGAAUAG